CACCACUCAAGCACAGCUUGGUAUUGGGCGUCCGUCUCCCUCGCGGGGGGCGCGCCUCAAAGACCUCGGCGGAGCCUCACCGGCUUUAGGCGUAGUAGAAUUUAUUCGAACGUCUUUUAACGGAGAGGACUCCUCAGCCGACCGAAACCUUUUAUUUUUUCUA
rnacentral:misc_RNA from 1 species